rnacentral:pre_miRNA from 1 species
GUCGUUUGAACUUCCGGGGUUGUAUUGGCUAAUGUGUGCAACCCCUCUUUCAGCCCCCAUGGGGGUUUGACUGAUGGGCUGUAACUGUGUUCAUACUGGCCAGCACAAUCCCAGAAGUAGAACAGACGAA